CGUAGGUGGCAAGCGUUGUCCGGAUUUAUUGGGUUUAAAGGGUGCGUAGGCGGCUUUGUAAGUCAGUGGUGAAAUACUCCAGCUCAACUGGAGAGGUGCCAUUGAUACUGCAGAGCUAGAGUACUGAUGAGGUAGGCGGAAUGGACGGUGUAGCGGUGAAAUGCUUAGAUAUCGUCCAGAACACCGAUAGCGAAGGCAGCUUACUAAAGAGUAACUGACGCUGAGGCACGAAAGUGUGGGGAUCAAACAGGAUUAGAUACCCUGGUAGUCCACACUGUAAACGUUGAUCACUAGAUGUUGGCGAUACACUGCCAGCGUUCCAGCAAAAGCGAUAAGUGAUCCACCUGGGGAGUACGCCCGCAAGGGUG
rnacentral:rRNA from 1 species